rnacentral:rRNA from 1 species
AUUGAACGCUGGCGGCAGGCCUAACACAUGCAAGUCGAACGAGUGGCGGACGGGUGAGUAAUGUCUGGGAAACUGCCAGAUGGAGGGGGAUAACUACUGGAAACGGUAGCUAAUACCGCAUACCAUCAGAUGUGCCCAGAUGGGAUUCGCUGGUUGGUGGGGUAACGGCUCACCAAGGCGACGAUCCCUAGCUGGUCUGAGAGGAUGACCCGCAACACGGGAACUGAGACACGGUCAAGACUCGUACGGGAGGCAGCAGUGGGGAAUAUUGCACAAUGGGCGCAAGCCUGAUGCAGCCAUGCCGCUUGUAUGAAGAAGGCCAUCGGGUUGUAAAGUACUUUCAGCGGGGAGGCGUUACCCGCAGAAGAAGCACCGGCUAACUCCGUGCCAGCAGCCGGGGUAAUUC